rnacentral:rRNA from 1 species
UACGUAGGUGGCAAGCGUUAUCCGGAUUCACUGGGUUUAAAGGGAGCGUAGGCGGGCAGGUAAGUCAGUGGUGAAAUCUUCGAGCUUAACUCGGAAACUGCCGUUGAUACUAUCUGUCUUGAAUACCGUGGAGAUGAGCGGAAUAUGUCAUGUAGCGGUGAAAUGCUUAGAUAUGACAUAGAACACCAAUUGCGAAGGCAGCUUACUACACAGUUAUUGACACUGAGGCACGAAAGCGUGGGGAUCAAACAGG